UACGAAGGGAGCUAGCGUUGUUCGGAAUCACUGGGCGUAAAGCGCACGUAGGCGGAUGUGUCAGUCAGGGGUGAAAUCCCGGGGCUCAACUUCGGAACUGCCUCUGAUACAGCACGUCUUGAGUCCGGAAGAGGUGGGUGGAAUUCCUAGUGUAGAGGUGAAAUUCGUAGAUAUUAGGAAGAACACCGGUGGCGAAGGCGGCCCACUGGUCCGGUACUGACGCUGAGGUGCGAAAGCGUGGGGAGCAAACAGG
rnacentral:rRNA from 1 species